rnacentral:tRNA from 1 species
GCGCCAGUAGCUCAGUCGGUAGAGUAUCUGCCUUUUAAGCAGAGAGUCGUGGGUUCAAGUCCCGCCUGGCGCACCA